ACAAGCUUCCCUGCCUGCUUCUCUCUCCUAUCUUAAUCAUGCAUAUAAGUCCAUGAACUCUCUCUCUCUCUCUCUCUCUCUCUCUCUCUCUCAUAAGCAAACACACACUACUCCCUGAAUCUACAUGAACACAAGGAAGCUUGCUCUCGCCGAUCUUUCUCGCAUAUGGCAGUUGAGGGGAAUGUUGUCUGGUCGGAGACCUAACACCGCGGAUCCAUGCGGCAUCGCAGCAUGGUGGAUGGUUUCGGACCAGGCUUCAUUCCCCCCAACUCAACUGUUCUUCGUCUCCGAAUCACCGGGGACGACGAUGAUCUUGUCAAGGAUGAUCCAACUCCCUACAACAGAUCUCACGGUCUGAAGUCUGAACUUUUGCUGAUGCUAGUUGGACCAACACCACGCACCAAAAUUUCUCCUCAGUAAGCAACACAGUUUCAACACAAGAGUCUGAGCUAUAUUCUAGAAGUGUCAUGGCAUUUGAAUCCUAACUAUCUGGGUAGCUCGAUCGGUAGGAUUAUGAUGAUAACGAUGUGACGGACAGUAGAUCGUACUAGUUAAGCAUAGCACGUAGUGAUGUACUAGUCAUACGAUUGCGACUUGACAAGAACAGCUAGUGGGUAUGAUGGUAACAGUGCGAGGAAAAAGUGAUGCCUUGAUCCUGUUUUUCCGCUGAACUUUUGACUUGAGAAAAUCUCAAACCCCGGUGGGCGAUAGAAUUCCGAAGGAGCAAUGAGGAUCGCAAGUGUCGGGAGGAGCUUUACAAGGACGUCCCAUCUCACCACAUGAAACUUUUCGAAGGUGACCAUCAUUUGAUCAUCGCACCAAGCACCGGGGUUACAUUUUUCAACGUCAAGUUUGAGCAAGCACCUUUAUUUUCAUUGUGAUCUCCCCAGGCCCCAGCACGUGCUGGUCGCGAGCUUUGGUGCCGGUUCUAUGCAGUCGAUACUCGAUAGACAUGUACGGUGUUAGAUCUCGUAUAUAGAACCGAGUGAGACGAUCGGACGGUGCUAACAUGUUCCAGUGGGCAGUGGCCAGUGUUCACAGAAAACACUUGGAACAACUCUCGGUUCACCACCGAGCCAGUCGAAGAGCCAGUGGCACGCCUGCCCUGGGCUCACCACCGUCCAGCUCGCGUCGCCGGCCGGGCUUGGUGACGACGAUGUUGGACGCCGCGUCCCUCAGGCAGUGCACGAGGGUCGGCGGGGAAGUGGAGUCGUCCAACCCAGCGCCGUCGAUCAACUCUGGGAUGAGGGCCCAGGGAUCCCGGUACACCGCGCAGAUGUGGCUUGGGUUGGCGCGGCGGCGACGAUGCUGGAGCGGGAGAUGGCGUUGCUGAAAGGGUCGACGAUGCGAACGACACGACCGAACGCGGGUCGUCCGAGUGCGCGCGCCACGGCUUGCACACGGCGCGGAAGCGGAGGCACUCGGCCAGGCCCCAGGGAGAACAUGAGACGGCCAGAGAUCUCGUCGACGAGGUCAGGCAUCAGGUUGGCCCAGUCCCUCGUUUCCUCCUCAGGGACGGCGGCCACCGGAUCGAGGAGCGGCUUCUCCAUCCCCAAGCGCACGGAGGAGGCGCCGUCGCGCUCAGCGAUAGCCUGCUUAGGAAUUUCUGGAUCCUUAGUCCAUUUCUCUGACUUUUUUCCAAGCAAAGCAACCAUACCUAUGUACACGUACUAGUAAUAACCGCAUUUUGUUUAGUUGUCUAGAACAGAA